GUGUUAAAUAACCCACCAUGUCAGUCCCAACAAUACAGUGCAGCUCUCUCCCUCUUCUUAUUUUUUUAAGAUGUGGUCACAUUUAGAAAAGAAUCCAUGCAAUAUAAGCAAAACAUUUCCCCAUGCAGAUUUUGCACCAGGUUCAGGUUUUCAGGUGUUGACAAGAACAGUAUUCUACAUUGAAAGUGAGUUCGGCUUUCAUAGAUUGACAUUCAUUAUUCAGCAGGGCAACCAGUGCUGUUCUGGGUCAACCUGGGUGAUUCUAACACACACACACACACACACCGUCUGUCCGGUGAAGCUGAGCGGAGGAAGCACGCUCCUUGUGUGUGAGGCAGAAAUAAGCGGGGGGUAGUAGCUGAAUGAAGUCAGGUUAGAAUCAGGAAGUGGGAGGACCUGGUCUCGCUGUGGGUGAAUGAGAGAGAGUUUGUGUGGAUAGAGGCAGCACUUGCGCGAGGAACAGGAGCCAGCGACAGGACACGAGCUUGAACCCAACGAAGAUUUCGAGGAAAGGAAGCGGAGGUCGGGUUUUUGGUGCGGCUUUACUCCACCCAUUCUACCUUUAGGAGGAAAACACCGUACGCUUUUUUGGAUUUUCUUGCUCUGCACGAGCGCACAGGAGAUGGUUUGUCACUGAGCGCGCGCCACUGACACAAAGCGCAUAGUCCGUGUCCGUUAAGCGACGGUUGGGAGGGUUUCAAACGGCCAAGUCGCGCGAAGAGGAGGACGAACUGAAGGAUUUCUCCACUUCUCUGCGCUCUUGGGGACCAGACACUUGGCUGCCUUUGUCCGAGAGCCUCUCUCGCGAUUAGCUCUGGAUGUUUUUCUGCUUUCUCUUCUUCUUUGGGAAAGGCUUCUUAUUUUGCAUGGCUGUCUGUCAAUCGCUCAAAAGGAGCGAGAGGAAUUCGCCGCCUGUUUAUGGAUUAUACAUUGUUUGACAAGCAGAAUGUGAAACGGCGCAUUUACUAAACCUCCUGAAAGUGAUUUCUUGACUUGUUAUUUUCGUCCGUGCCAACCUCGCCACGUCUAAAGGGCUCAGAUGCCAGCUCAGAGAAACUCUUCAGCACAGCUGCAGUUAAAGUUCCAGAUUUUAGUGUGGACACGCUCUCCACCAAUGCCAGCCAGGAGCUGCGAGGCCUGGGCAU